rnacentral:rRNA from 1 species
UGAGGGAAAGUUGCAAAGAACUUUGAAGAGAGAGUUCAAGAGUACGUGAAACUGCUCGGAAGAAAACGGGUGGAUCUUCGAAGUCCCAGCGGUGCGGGAUUCAGUGGCGGGGGGCGAGGCGGGUCCGGAGCCGGUACUCCUUCGGGGGACCGUCGACGGUCGCGUCCUCCUCUCAGCCCUGCACUUCCCGCGCCCGGAGGACGCCGCAGCCGGUCGGGAGUCGGCAGUGAGGACUGGCGGGGCGAUGGCGUGGGCGGCGAUCCAGCAUCGCCGUCCCGAUUCUGUACCCGCCGUGCUCCCGGUGCGACGCCAGGCCGAGGGAAAGACAGAGGUUCGCACUAGGUGCGGACGAGCCGUGGUCUCGCCAGAGAUGGCAGAGCGGGAGAGCGUUCCGGUCCAACCGGUCGGUACGCCCACCACGAGCGUGAGCGACCGACGAAGGUGCUCCGGAAGGGCGCUAGAGACCCGCGGAGGCGAGCCGCGGGCUUGCGGCGAGUAGGUCGGUAACCCACCCGACCCGUCUUGAAACACGGACCAAGGAGUCUAACUUGUGCGCGAGUCAGUGGGACUCGAAUAAGCCCACGGGCGCAAUGAAAGUGAAGUGACGUUCUGUGUUCGUCGCGAUCCCGCAUGCCCGUCGUGGCUCGGGCGCAGCGACGGUCCGGCUCGUCGGUCAGUCUCCACUGGCCGCGGUCGGUACCUGAGCGUACAGGUUGGGACCCGAAAGAUGGUGAACUAUGCCCGGGCAGGUCGAAGCU